rnacentral:misc_RNA from 1 species
GAUGAAGAACGUAGUGAAAUGCGAUAAGUAAUGUGAAUUGCAGAAUUCAGUGAAUCAUCGAAUCUUUGAACGCACAUUGCGCCCCUUGGUAUUCCGGGGGGCAUGCCUCUUCCAGCGUCAUUUCACCCCUCAAGCUCUGCUUGGUUUUGGGCCGCGCCGGCAACGGCGGGCCUCGAAAAUAGUGGCGACGCCAUCGUGCUCUCAGCGUAGUAAUUCUUCUCGCUGUUGGGUCCCGGUGGUCGUCCGCCAGCAACCCCCAACUUUCUUAAGUUUGACCUGGGAUGAGGUAGGGAUACCCGCUGAACUUAAGCAUAUCAAAUAAGCGGAGGA